AAUCCAUAGGUUAAUGAGGCGAACCGGGGGAACUGAAACAUCUAAGUACCCCGAGGAAAAGAAAUCAACCGAGAUUCCCCCAGUAGCGGCGAGCGAACGGGGAGGAGCCCAGAGCCUGAAUCAGCAUGUGUGUUAGUGGAAGCGUCUGGAAAGGCGCGCGAUACAGGGUGACAGCCCCGUACACAAAAGCGCAUGUGCUGUGAGCUCGAUGAGUAGGGCGGGACACGUGGUAUCCUGUCUGAAUAUGGGGGGACCAUCCUCCAAGGCUAAAUACUCCUGACUGACCGAUAGUGAACCAGUACCGUGAGGGAAAGGCGAAAAGAACCCCGGCGAGGGGAGUGAAAAAGAACCUGAAACCGUGUACGUACAAGCAGUGGGAGCCCCACCACCAAAGCGUUUCGCUUUGUGUGGUGCACAAAGAAGCGUAACGACAGCACUGAAUGACGGUUAACGGAGCGCAAGCGACGUUCAACAUACAAAGUCAAGCAGUGGAGCGCUUUGGGGUGGGGUGACUGCGUACCUUUUGUAUAAUGGGUCAGCGACUUAUAUUCUGUAGCAAGGUUAACCGAAUAGGGGAGCCGGAGGGAAACC
rnacentral:rRNA from 1 species